rnacentral:rRNA from 1 species
GACGAACGCUGGCGGCGUGCUUAACACAUGCAAGUCGAACGGAAAGGCCCUGCUUUUGUGGGGUGCUCGAGUGGCGAACGGGUGAGUAACACGUGAGUAACCUGCCCUUGACUUUGGGAUAACUUCAGGAAACUGGGGCUAAUACCGGAUAGGAGCUCCUGCUGCAUGGUGGGGGUUGGAAAGUUUCGGCGGUUGGGGAUGGACUCGCGGCUUAUCAGCUUGUUGGUGGGGUAGUGGCUUACCAAGGCUUUGACGGGUAGCCGGCCUGAGAGGGUGACCGGCCACAUUGGGACUGAGGUACGGCCCAGACUGCUACGGGAGGCAGAAGUGGGGAAUAUUGCACAAUGGGCGGAAGCCUGAUGCAGCAACGCCGCGUGCGGGAUGACGGCCUUCGGGUUGUAAACCGCUUUCGCCUGUGACGAAGCGUGAGUGACGGUAAUGGGUAAAGAAGCACCGGCUAACUACGUG